GCAUAUCAUAGCGGAGGAAAAGAAACCCAACAGGGAUUGCCUUAGUAGCGGCGAGUGAAGCGGCAAAAGCUCAAAUUUGAAAUCUGCCUCACGGCCGAGUUGUAAUUUGUAGAUGGUAACUCUGUGGCAAGCCUUUGCUCAAGUUUUCUGGAAAGAAACAUCAUGGAGGGUGAUAAUCCCGUGAGGCAUUGGUGCAGCUACGUGUAGAGUGCUAUCAAAGAGUCGAGUUGUUUGGGAAUGCAGCUCAAAGUGGGUGGUAGACACCAUCUAAAGCUAAAUAUUGGCGAGAGACCGAUAGCGAACAAGUACUGUGAAGGAAAGAUGAAAAGCACUUUGAAAAGAGAGUGAAAAAGUACGUGAAAUUAUUGAUACAGAAGGGUAUAAAAUUGGACUCAAGGUCUAGGUUCGGUAGCCUCUCGGGGUUGCUUUGUCCUAGGCCCUAAACCAGCAUCAGUUUUGGCAGGUGGAUAAACAACAUGGAAUGUAGCUGCUUGCAGUGUUAUAGACUUGUUGCAUACACCUUGCUGGGACUGAGGACCGCCUUUGUAGGAUGCUGGGGUAACGAUUUUAUACCACCCGUCUUGAAACACGGACCAAGGAGUCUAUUGCCUAUGCAAGUGUUUGGGUGUAAAACCCGAGCGCGAAAUGAAAGUGAACGUAGGUUGGAGCCCGCAAGGGUGCACAAUCGGCCGAUCUUGACGUUUUACAGAUGGAUUUGAGCAAGAGCAUAGUUGAUGGGACCCGAAAGAUGGUGAACUAUACCUGGACAGGGUGAAGCCGAGAGGAAACUCUGGUGGAAGCUCGUAGGCGUUCUAACGUGCAAAUUGAUGCUUCAGAUCAGGGUAUAGGGGCGAAAGACUAAAUCGAACCAUCUAGUAGCUGUUCCUGCCGA
rnacentral:rRNA from 1 species